rnacentral:rRNA from 1 species
GAUGAACGCUGGCGGCGUGCCUAAUACAUGCCAGUCGAGCGAACGGACGAGGAGCUUGCUUCUCUGAUGUUAGCGGCGGACGGGUGAGUAACACGUGGAUAACCUACCUAUAAGACUGGGAUAACUUCGGGAAACCGGAGCUAAUACCGGAUAAUAUUUUGAACCGCAUGGUUCAAUAGUGAAAGACGGUCUUGCUGUCACUUAUAGAUGGAUCCGCGCUGCAUUAGCUAGUUGGUAAGGUAACGGCUUACCAAGGCAACGAUGCAUAGCCGACCUGAGAGGGUGAUCGGCCACACUGGAACUGAGACACGGUCCAGACUCCUACGGGAGGCAGCAGUAGGGAAUCUUCCGCAAUGGGCGAAAGCCUGACGGAGCAACGCCGCGUGAGUGAUGAAGGUCUUCGGAUCGUAAAACUCUGUUAUUAGGGAAGAACAAAUGUGUAAGUAACUAUGCACAUCUUGACGGUACCUAAUCAGAAAGCCACGGCUAACUACGUG